GCAACAGCACAUGAUGGAGACGAUGAUGAGGAGGAGACCAUCUCUCUGGAUUCCAGAAGGCAUGAGGACCCAGAUGCUAUACAGUGGGAAAACCAGCCUGGCAACAUAAGCUCACAAGCUAUCAGAAAGUUGUAUGGCAACCACCUCCGGCGCCAAAUAGAACUGGCAGACAUAGACAUUCAGUACAAGAAGAAAAAGAUGGAAAAUCUUGCACUGGAGUCCGAAAUAAAAAAGAGGACAAUUAGGAAACUGGACCUUGAAAUAAAAAAACUUGAGAGGGAGCUCCAAGAAGAUGACACAGCUCAAAAUACAAAUUAGGUAUAUUCUCGUAAAGUCAAGUGAGCCAUGACAUAUGAGCUCUUAUUGUGAGCACACAGGACGGUGGCAUCUUUCUAAGGUUUUUUUUAUUUUCCCAGCAAUCAGUACAACCAAGUCAUCGUUAUAAGGCAUCGCCCUCUUUUGCCCACCCC
rnacentral:lncRNA from 1 species